UAACAAGUCUUUGUUUUUUUUUUUUUUUUAAAAAAAGGUAGCACGCUACCCGUAUCGUUUAUUUCAUUUAGAAAUAAACUUAGCUAAAAAUGUGAAACAAUUAGGAUUCGAAUUUGGGUCUCAGGUACCAACCACCAAGCCCUUCACCACUUACUCUAAGGACAGUCGGUAUAACAAGUCUUUGUUAAACUAUAAAUUUGAUGAAAUCAUC
rnacentral:lncRNA from 1 species